CCACUCCUGACGCUGCAAGCGGCCAGUGAGCAGAGCUAGCCUAAGGCGUUUCGGGCCACAGCGGGCAGCGUCAGAUGCCCAUGCAAAGAUGCAUUGAGGAGGACGUACUUCUCUUCAGAACAUCUUUGAAAUCUUUCUUUUUGCGAUUAUGAGUUCACAGGACAGCCAAAAAUUUACUUUAAACACAAUGGUAGGGAAGUAAAAUAACAUCUGUUAAUAUUGAUUUGGUCAACAUGCUGUGGAUUGCUCACAGAAUUUGUCAUCCAGUUGACAUGUCAGGGACCUGAAAUGGAUUGCCAUGAACUGAGAGAAAUAGACUUGCCAUACUUUACAGCAACAGGAUAAUCAAUCAACAAGACCCUCCAGCUCUAACAUAUAAUGAUAAGAAGCUAAAAAUAAUCUAGAAUGCAGAAGGCUUAUCCCAUGGUUGCCCAGGCAGAGAGGAUAUAGUAUUCUCCAAGGAGUGGAAGAAAGGGUAUGAAAUCUGGUGUCUUCAUUUCUUUUAUUUACUGGAGAAAUAAGCUAUAGCAUUAAGCUAAUGAUAACUUUUUUUACAUGUCUCAGGUCACACCGACCAUGAGAUCACUUGAUUUACAAGACUUCAUGCAUAAAACUGAAUGGAAUCCAAAUGCUAAGGGGACUCCUGACCAAUAUUCAGUUGUCUUUUUUUCCUCUGAGAAGGCUUUAAUGUCACUUGGGGAACACCAAAGGGAGCUAAUCCAGGCCAUAUGA
rnacentral:lncRNA from 1 species